rnacentral:miRNA from 3 species
UAGGUAGUUUCACGUUGUUGGG